GGGUAGCAAUAUCUGGUGACGACCGGCAAACGGGUGCGGAACACGUACAGAACCUUCCUUUAAGCGGGGGAUAGCCCAUAGAAAUGUGGAUUAAUACCCCAUAGUAAUAUUAGUUGGCAUCAAUUGAUAUUUAAAGAUUUAUCACUUAAAGAUGGCUGUGCGGCUGAUUAGGUAGUUGGUGUGGGUAACGGCCCACCAAGCCAGCGAUCAGUAACUGGUGUGAGAGCACGACCAGUCACGCGGGCACUGAGACACGGGCCCGACUCCUACGGGAGGCAGCAGUAAGGAAUAUUGGUCAAUGGACGCAAGUCUGAACCAGCCAUGCCGCGUGAAGGAUGAAGGCCCUCUGGGUUGUAAACUUCUUUUAUCUGGGAAGAAAUGCUUGUUUUUUAACGAGUUUGACGGUACCAGAGGAAUAAGCACCGGCUAACUCCGUGCCAGCAGCCGCGGUAAUACGGAGGGUGCAAGCGUUAUCCGGAUUCACUGGGUUUAAAGGGUGCGUAGGUGGGUUGGUAAGUCAGUGGUGAAAUCUCCGUGCUUAACAUGGAAACUGCCAUUGAUACUACUGAUCUUGAAUUUUCAGGAGGUAAGCGGA
rnacentral:rRNA from 1 species